CCCUUAGAUGUCCUGGGCCGCACGCGCGCUACACUGAGUGUCUGAGAUACGAGUCUGCCUGGUCCGGCAAGGUCUAGGUAAUCGCUAAAAGACACAUCAUGCUUGGGAUAGAUUAUUGCAAAUAUUAAUCUUGAACGAGGAAUUCCUAGUAAGCGCAAGUCAACAGCUUGCGUUGAUUACGUCCCUGCCCUUUGUACACACCGCCCGUCGCUACUACUGAUUGGAUGUUUAAGCGAGGUUCUCGAACUGCUAGCGACUUAGCUUCGGUGAGGUCGCAGUGUGGGAGGUGAACCUAGCUUUGGUGUCUAGAGGAAGUAAAAGUCGUAACA
rnacentral:rRNA from 1 species